CGCGUAGGCGGUUAUAUAAGUUAGGUGUGAAAUCCCCGGGCUUAACCUGGGAAUGGCAUUUAAUACUGUAUGACUAGAGUAGAGUAGAGGGAAGUGGAAUUUCCGGUGUAGCGGUGAAAUGCGUAGAUAUCGGAAAGAACACCAGUGGCGAAGGCGGCUUCCUGGACUCAUACUGACGUUGAGGCGCGAAAGCGUGGGUAGCAAACA
rnacentral:rRNA from 1 species